ensembl:lncRNA
UUAAGGCUGCAUACUUUAAGGCUGCAGACCCUGAAUUGGGAUACAGCCGUACAUACAUGUUUUGGUUCGUGCAACUGGUCCGUCUGGUUAUUGUCUCCCCAGAAACAUUUCCAUUGUGUUGUGUGUGCUUUUGCAGCAUUUUUCUUUUUGCAGCAUUUUUCUUUUUGCAGCGUUUUUCUUUUUGCAGCAUUUUUCUUUUUGCAACAUUUUUCUUUUUGCAAGUGUUUUUCUUUUUGCAAGUGUUUUUCUUUUUGCAGCAUUUUUCUUUUUGCAGCAUUUUUCUUUUUGCAAGUGUUUUUCUUUUUGCAACAUUUUUCUUUUUGCAGCAUUUUUCUUUUUGCAAGUGUUUUUCUUUUUGCAAGUGUUUUUCUUUUUGCAGCAUUUUUCUUUUUGCAAGUGUUUUUCUUUUUGCAAGUGUUUUUCUUUUUGCAAUGUUUUUCUUUUUGCAGCAUUUUUCUUUUUGCAAGUGUUUUCUGAAGUUGCAGUCCGUUUGGCCUCUCAGGGCCACCGUAAAAAACCCAAUUUCUGCCGUUCAAUACUGAACAAAUUUAAACUUUUUAAAAUUAUGCAAAAUGCAAAACGCUUAGCUGUGUCGCUAAUAAAACCGCUGGAACUUCAGAGGCAACGUUCAUAUGUUGAUUAAUCGUUUUCUUUCAUUUUUGAUGUACUGCAGAAUAUUUUUUAUAAAAUCCCAGGCCAGGAAAAAUCACCUUCAUGUUUUUCUGUGUUUUAUCUUCAGCUACUUUUACACAAAGGCAUCUGCUGUGACGCUUACACCUUUGAUAAAGUCUUGCGUGUGUCAGCUUCCUUUUUUUAGAUACAAAAAUAUGUAAAUGUACUGAUCUGAAUUAUAAUAUUUCUGACUGUCAAAAUUUC